UACGUAGGCCCCAAGCAUUAUCCGGAAUUACUGGGCGUAAAGAGCGUGUAGGUGUUCCUACAAGUCGGUCGUUAAAUCUCACUGCCUAACAGUGAGGCCGCGAGCGAAACUGUAGGAAUUGAGGUUUGCAGGGGCUAGCAGAAUUCCUGGAGUAGGGGUGAAAUCCGUUGAUACCAGGAGGAAUACCAAUGGCGAAGGCAGCUAGCUGGGCAAAACCUGACACUGAGACGCGAAAGCGUGGGGAGCAAACGGG
rnacentral:rRNA from 1 species